AAACUAGCGUUGAACAAGUCAGUAGCGUGAUGACCAACCAAUAGAGAGCUGGGAAUGCUGGAAACCGGUGGUGGUGAUGACGUGAACGUAGCUUGCGAGCUGAAAGGCUGAACUAAUAGUAGGCCUUUUCCGGAGCACUCUCCGUUAACAAAGAAGUUAAGUGGGGCAUAAAUGCCCAAUUUAGGUGGUACCGCGAAGACUCUUCGUCCUAAUU
rnacentral:ncRNA from 1 species